GUUGAGUUAUAUUUACGAAUGAUGUACCGAUAAAAAGAUUUAGUAAAUGCUUUGACUAGUUUGUGAUAUCGAAAAUCCUGGUGUAAUUAUUUUUCAGUAGUUCAUAAUUUUUUCUCGUUAAAAUCUAAAACGUUGUUAAAUACACGAGCGCAUCGUACAAGUUGGGAUAUAUAAACACCGUAACGUGAUAACAAGGUAACGUCACCAUUCCAAAAUAGAUAAUUAACGAUAGGAAAUGAAAAAUCAUCUCUUUUAUCAUAAAUUUUAGUAUUAAG
rnacentral:lncRNA from 1 species